GAUGUCGUGGCCAGUGGUCUAAGGCGCUGGAUUAAGGUUCUCCAGUCUGUUCGCAGGCGUGGGUUCAAAUCCCACCGACAUCA
rnacentral:tRNA from 1 species